rnacentral:rRNA from 1 species
AGCAGCCGCGGUAAUUCCAGCUCCAAUAGCGCAUAUUAAAGUUGUUGCAGUUAAAAAGCUCGUAGUUGAAUUUCGGGAUUAAUUUAUUGGUCGUGCUAUUGUACGUACUGGUAUUAUUGAUUCCUACUUUCUGACGAACCAUGGUGUCAUUAAUUUGGUGUCAUGGGGAAUCAGGACUGUUACUUUAGAAAAAAUUAGAGUGUUUAAAGCAGGCUCACGCUUGAAUACAUUAGCAUGGAAUAACGAAAUAGGACGUUUGAUUCUAUUUUGUUGGUUUCUAGGAUCGACGUAAUGAUUAAUAGGGAUAGUUGGGGGCAUUAGUAUUCAAUUGUCAGAGGUGAAAUUCUUGGAUUUAUUGAAGACUAACUACUGCGAAAGCAUUUGCCAAGGAUGUUUUCAUUAAUCAAGAACGAAAGUUAGGGGAUCGAAGACGAUCAGAUACCGUCGUAGUCUUAACCAUAAACUAUGCCGACUAGGGAUCGGAUGAUGUUAAUUUUUAAUGACUCAUUCGGCGCCUUAA